CACGGAGCAGAGGACCCUCGCCACCAUCAUCAAAAUCAAGUGUUCUUGCAUCAACACAUGGGCAAGGCUCCCCUCUUCCGCUCGUUGCCUCUCCUCGUCCUCCUAGUCGCUCUGUCCAGCACCACAUUACCUUCCUCCCGUUCUACGUCCGUCGAUGGAGACCACCAUGACCUGCUGAUGCUGGGUAGGUUCCACCGAUGGAUGUCGUGGCAUGGCCGGACGUAUCCGAGUGCCGCCGAGAAGCUGCGGCGGUUUGAGGCGUACCGUCGCAACGUGGACCUCAUCGACGCCUCCAACAGGGACGCCGAGAGGCUGGGUUAUGAGCUCGGUGAGAACGAGUUCACCGACCUUACCAACGAGGAGUUCAUGACACGGUAUGUCGGUGGAGCCGGUGCUGGUGGUGGUCUCAUCACUACUUUGGCCGGAGAUGUCGUCGAAGGGGUGGUAUCAUCCAAGUACACUGUCGAGGGGGGCGGUAAUUUGACGAUGACCACCUCCGACCCUCUCGGCAGUUCGACUGGAGGGAGCAUGGCGCUGUCACGCCUGCAAAGCAACAAGGGGCAUGCGGAUGCUGCUGGGCGUUUGCUGCGGCGGCGACGGUGGAGAGCUUGAACAAGAUAAAUGGCGGGGAGCUGGUGGACCUGUCGGUGCAGGAGCUGGUGGACUGCAGCACGGGUGUGUUCAGCUCGCCGUGCGGCUACGGGUGGCCCAAGAGCGCACUCCAGUGGAUCAAAUCAAAAGGUGGCCUCCUCACGGAGGCCGAGUACCCCUACUUGGCCAAGCGAGGCAGAUGCGAGGUGCACGACGCCGCCCGACGCAUCGGCAAGAUCACCGGCGUCCAGGACGUGCAGCCGGGGAGCAACGAGAACGCGCUGGCGCUGGCCGUGCUCAGGACGCCGGUGACCGUCCAGAUCGACGGGAGCGGCUCCGUGCUGCAGAACUACAAAUCCGGCGUGUACAAGGGGCCGUGCACCACCAGCCAGAACCACGUGGUGACGGUGGUCGGCUACGGGGUCACCGGCGCCGGAGAAGAGUACUGGAUCGCCAAGAACUCGUGGGGCCAGACGUGGGGCCAGAAGGGCUUCUUCUUCAUGCGUAGGGGAGCCGACGGGCCCCGCGGGCUGUGUGGCAUGGCCAUGUACGGUGCUUAUCCCGUCAUGUAGUUAGUAUUAUAUCAUGGUAUGCGCGCAACGUAAUGUGCUAUUAAAAUAAGAUGCACGAUACAUGGAUGUGUGGACGAUGAUGCCACCAGUACCAUCUAUGCCAAAUUACUUUGGCACCGUAUCUACAGAUGAUACGAUAUUGUUACUAUAUAUAUGUGUGUGGUUCCACGUGUAUAAUGAUGCGUAUGCUUUGUCAGGUGUGUAUUUUUGAAAUGUAAGUGCAAGUACUUAAUAAUAAGUUAUACACUAUGUAUCCUUUA